UACAGAGGGGGCAAGCGUUGUUCGGAAUUAUUGGGCGUAAAGAGCUUGUAGGCGGUUUGUCGCGUCUGCUGUGAAAUUUCGGGGCUCAACCCCGAACUUGCAGUGGGUACGGGCAGACUAGAGUGUGAUAGGGGAGACUGGAAUUCCUGGUGUAGCGGUGAAAUGCGCAGAUAUCAGGAGGAACACCGAUGGCGAAGGCAGGUCUCUGGGCCAUAACUGACGCUGAGAAGCGAAAGCAUGGGGAGCGAACAGG
rnacentral:rRNA from 1 species